AACGAACGCUGGCGGCAUGCCUAACACAUGCAAGUCGAACGAGACCUUCGGGUCUAGUGGCGAACGGGUGCGUAACGCGAGGGAACCUGCCCUUAGGUUCGGAAUAACUCCCCGAAAGGGGUGCUAAUACCGGAUAAUGUCUUCGGACCAAAGAUUUAUCGCCUUUGGAUGGGCCCGCGUUGGAUUAGCUAGUUGGUAGGGUAAAAGCCUACCAAGGCGACGAUCCAUAGCUGGUCUGAGAGGAUGAUCAGCCACACUGGGACUGAGACACGGCCCAGACUCCUACGGGAGGCAGCAGUGGGGAAUAUUGGACAAUGGGCGAAAGCCUGAGCCAGCAAUGCCGCGUGAGUGAUGAAGGCCUUAGGGUUGUAAAGCUCUUUUACCCGGGAUGAUAAUGACAGUACCGGGAGAAUAAGCGCCGGCUAACUCCGUG
rnacentral:rRNA from 1 species